GCAUAAUCACUUGCCCAUUAAUUGUGGGCUAGAAUGAAUGGAAAAACGAAGUAAUAGCUGUCUCUAGUAAUCAAAUAAAAACUAAUAUUCCAGUGAAGAAGCUGAAAUAAAAUCACAGGACAAGAAGACCCUAUAGAGCUUUAUUUUUAAUACAUAAUUAUAAUGUAGAAAAAUUCAGUUGGGGCGACUAAGGAGAAAAUCAUCCUAAAAUAUAUAGACUUACAAGUCGAAUCAAAGAUCCUAAAAAUAGAUCAAAGAAAUUAGCUACCUUAGGGAUAACAGGCUAAUCCUCCUGGAAAGUCCAAAUUUAUAGGAGGGU
rnacentral:rRNA from 1 species